rnacentral:rRNA from 1 species
UACGUAGGGGGCGAGCGUUGUCCGGAAUUAUUGGGCGUAAAGAGCUCGUAGGCGGUUUGUUGCGUCGGCCGUGAAAACCUGCAGCUUAACUGUGGGCCUGCGGCCGAUACGGGCAGACUUGAGUUCGGUAGGGGAGACUGGAAUUCCUGGUGUAGCGGUGAAAUGCGCAGAUAUCAGGAGGAACACCGGUGGCGAAGGCGGGUCUCUGGGCCGAUACUGACGCUGAGGAGCGAAAGCGUGGGGAGCGAACAGG